UACGUAGGGGGCUAGCGUUGUCCGGAAUCAUUGGGCGUAAAGAGCGUGUAGGCGGUUCGGUAAGUCCGCUGGGAAAGUCCAGGGCUCAACCCUGGAAUGCCAGUGGAAACUGCCGAGCUAGAGUCCGGAAGAGGCGAGUGGAAUUCCUGGUGUAGCGGUGAAAUGCGCAGAUAUCAGGAGGAACACCAAUGGCGAAAGCAGCUCGCUGGGACGGUACUGACGCUGAGACGCGAAAGCGUGGGGAGCAAACAGG
rnacentral:rRNA from 1 species